GAUGAAGAACGCAGCGAAAUGCGAUAAGUAAUGUGAAUUGCAGAAUUCAGUGAAUCAUCGAAUCUUUGAACGCCCAUUGCGUCCGCCAGUAUUCUGGCGGGCAUGCCUGUUCGAGCGUCAUUACAACCCUCAGGCCCCCGGGCCUGGCGUUGGGGAUCGGCAGAAGCCCCCUGUGGGCACACGCCGUCCCUCAAAUACAGUGGCGGUCCCGCCGCAGCUUCCAUUGCGUAGUAGCUAACACCUCGCAACUGGAGAGCGGCGCGGCCAUGCCGUAAAACACCCAACUUCUGAAUGUUGACCUCGAAUCAGGUAGGAAUACCCGCUGAACUUAAGCAUAUCAAUAAGCGGAGGA
rnacentral:misc_RNA from 1 species